UGGGGAAUAUUGGACAAUGGGCGGAAGCCUGAUCCAGCAACGCCGCGUGAGGGAUGACGGCCUUCGGGUUGUAAACCUCUUUCAGCACAGACGAAGCGCAAGUGACGGUAUGUGCAGAAGAAGGACCGGCCAACUACGUGCCAGCAGCCGCGGGAAUACGUAGGGUCAGAGCGUUGUCCGGAAUUAUUGGGCGCAACGGGCUCGUAGGCGGUCUGUCGCGUCGGGAGGGAAAAACAGGUGCUUAACACC
rnacentral:rRNA from 1 species